GGCAGAGGGUGCAAACGUUGUUCGGAAUUACUGGGCGUAAAGCGUGUGUAGGCGGCCUUGCAAGUCGGAUGUGAAAGUCCCGGGCUCAACCCGGGAAGUGCACUCGAUACUGCAGGGCUUGAGUAUCGGAGAGGUUGGUGGAAUUCUCGGUGUAGAGGUGAAAUUCGUAGAUAUCGAGAGGAACACCGGCGGCGAAGGCGGCCAACUGGACGAUUACUGACGCUGAGACACGAAAGCGUGGGGAGCAAACAGG
rnacentral:rRNA from 1 species